rnacentral:tRNA from 2 species
GCCCCGGUAGUAUAGCCCGGACUAGUAUGCGGGCCUGUCGAGCCCGUGACCCGGGUUCAAAUCCCGGCCGGGGCG